UGGGGGAUAUUGCACAAUGGGCGAAAGCCUGAUGCAGCGACGCCGCGUGGGGGAUGAAGGCCUUCGGGUUGUAAACUUCUUUUGCUCUGAACAAGGCGCACCAUGGGGUGUGUUGAGUGUAGGGGUUGAUUAGCGCCGGCUAACUACGUGCCAGCAGCCGCGGUAAUACGUAGGGCGCGAGCGUUGUCCGGAAUUAUUGAGCGUAAAGGGCUUGUAGGUGGCUGGUUGCGUCUGUCGUGAAAGCUCAUGGCUUAACUGUGGGUUUGCUGUGGGUACGUGCUGGCUGGAGUGCAGUAGGGGAGGCUGGAAGUCCUGGUGUAGCGGUGGAAUGCGCAGAUAUCAGGAGGAAUACCGGUGGCGAAGGCGGGUCUCUGGGCUGUUACUGACACUGAGGAGCGAACGCAUGGGGAGCGAACAGG
rnacentral:rRNA from 1 species